rnacentral:lncRNA from 1 species
UUUAAUUGUUUUUUCUUUUAAAAUUCAUAGUAAUUUCAUUUUUCAUCCAAAAAAUCCCAAAAUAAUUUCUAAAAUUCUCUUUUAUUUUUCUUCAUCUAAUUUUUCUUUUUUCACAUUUUAUUUCACCGAUUUUCUAUUUUUCAUGAAUUUUAUCUUUUCUCCUUUGUUUUAAUUGAUUUAAAAUACUUUUCUACAUUUUCAAAUUC